rnacentral:rRNA from 1 species
GUCCAGACUCCUACGGGAGGCAGCAGUGAGGAAUAUUGGUCAAUGGUCGAGAGGCUGAACCAGCCAAGUCGCGUGAGGGAAGACGGCCCUACGGGUUGUAAACCUCUUUUGUCGGGGAACAAAGGCGUCCACGGGUGGGCGGAUGAGUGUACCCGAAGAAAAAGCAUCGGCUAACUCCGUGCCAGCAGCCGCGGUAAUACGGAGGAUGCGAGCGUUAUCCGGAUUUAUUGGGUUUAAAGGGUGCGUAGGCGGACAGUCAAGUCAGCGGUAAAAAUGCGGUGCUCAACGCCGUACAGCCGUUGAAACUGGCAGUCUUGAGUGGGCGAGAAGUAUGCGGAAUGCGUGGUGUAGCGGUGAAAUGCAUAGAUAUCACGCAGAACUCCGAUUGCGAAGGCAGCAUACCGGCGCCCUACUGACGCUGAGGCACGAAAGCGUGGGUAUCGAACAGGAUUAGAUACCUGUAU